ACGGGUGAGUAACACGUGGAUAACCUACCUAUAAGACUGGGAUAACUUCGGGAAACCGGAGCUAAUACCGGAUAAUAUUUUGAACCGCAUGGUUCAAAAGUGAAAGACGGUCUUGCUGUCACUUAUAGAUGGAUCCGCGCUGCAUUAGCUAGUUGGUAAGGUAACGGCUUACCAAGGCAACGAUGCAUAGCCGACCUGAGAGGGUGAUCGGCCACACUGGAACUGAGACACGGUCCAGACUCCUACGGGAGGCAGCAGUAGGGAAUCUUCCGCAAUGGGCGAAAGCCUGACGGAGCAACGCCGCGUGAGUGAUGAAGGUCUUCGGAUCGUAAAACUCUGUUAUUAGGGAAGAACAUAUGUGUAAGUAACUGUGCACAUCUUGACGGUACCUAAUCAGAAAGCCACGGCUAACUACGUGCCAGCAGCCGCGGUAAUACGUAGGUGGCAAGCGUUAUCCGGAAUUAUUGGGCGUAAAGCGCGCGUAGGCGGUUUUUUAAGUCUGAUGUGAAAGCCCACGGCUCAACCGUGGAGGGUCAUUGGAAACUGGAAAACUUGAGUGCAGAAGAGGAAAGUGGAAUUCCAUGUGUAGCGGUGAAAUGCGCAGAGAUAUGGAGGAACACCAGUGGCGAAGGCGACUUUCUGGUCUGUAACUGACGCUGAUGUGCGAAAGCGUGGGGAUCAAACAGGAUUAGAUACCCUGGUAGUCCACGCCGUAAACGAUGAGUGCUAAGUGUUAGGGGGUUUCCGCCCCUUAGUGCUGCAGCUAACGCAUUAA
rnacentral:rRNA from 1 species